rnacentral:rRNA from 1 species
CGGAGGAAAAGAAACUAACAAGGAUUCCCCUAGUAACGGCGAGUGAAGCGGGAAGAGCUCAAAUUUGUAAUCUGGCACUUUCAGUGUCCGAGUUGUAAUCUCGAGAAGUGUUUUCCGCGCCGGACCGCAUACAAGUCUGUUGGAAUACAGCGUCAUAGUGGUGAGAGCCCCGUAACUGAUGCGGAUGCCCGGUGCUUUGUGAUACACUUUCGAAGAGUCGAGUUGUUUGGGAAUGCAGCUCAAAUUGGGUGGUAAAUUCCAUCUAAAGCUAAAUAUUGGCGAGAGACCGAUAGCGAACAAGUACCGUGAGGGAAAGAUGAAAAGCACUUUGGAAAGAGAGUUAACAGUACGUGAAAUUGUUGGAAGGGAAACGCUUGAAGUCAGACUUGCUAUUCGGAAUUCAGCCGCAAGGUGUACUUUUCGAUUUGCAGGCCAGCAUCAGUUUUUGGGGGUGGAAAAGGGUGGAGAGAAGGUAGCAACCCCGGUUGUGUUAUAGCUCUUCACUGGAUUCAUCUUCGGGGACUGAGGAUCGCAGCGCGCUUUAUUGCAAGGCUCUCGAGCUUUUCGCGCUUAGGAUGCUGGUGGAAUGGCUUUAAACGACCCGUCUU